rnacentral:rRNA from 1 species
UACGUAGGGGGCGAGCGUUGUCCGGAUUUAUUGGGCGUAAAGAGCUCGUAGGCGGUUUGGCAAGUCGGGUGUGAAAACUCCGGGCUCAACUCGGAGACGCCACUCGAUACUGCUAUGACUCGAGUCCGGUAGGGGAGUGCGGAAUUCCUGGUGUAGCGGUGAAAUGCGCAGAUAUCAGGAAGAACACCCGUGGCUAAGGCGGCUCUCUAGUACGGUACUGACGCUGAGACGCGAAAGCUAGGGGAGCAAACGGG